CUUGGUCGGAAAGGGGAGAGUCUGCAAGAGGACGCUCUAGGAUGGGUUCCUAGCGAUCAGGCAGGGACGGUCCCCGCGGGACAUGAGUGAAGAGAAGCAGCAGUCAGGUUGUUCCAAGAUCUUUGAAGACCCAGGAAAAAGCCGUGUUGACCAAAAGGAAGACAAAUGACUCACAGAGAGAAAAGAUGGGGGAGCCAAGGGCAAUUAAAGCUGCCUCAGGUUCUGAACAGAUGGUAACCGUGCUAGCCUCCUGAAGGACAUGA